UUUGGAUUACAAAGAAGAGAUUGAGUUAUCCUGCAGAGAGAUGGUGCAAUAAGCAGAUUUUUCUCUUCUUUCAUCCACAGCAUUAUUUCAGCUGGGAGCUGUAGUAUGUGACUAAUUAGCCAAUGGAAGUCCACUCUCUGGACUUUCUGGUGGUAUAUUUACACUGAAUUCUGGCCUGAUAAUAAAGGUGUCACCCAGUGUAACAAUGUGACACACCCAGAGUGAAGAAGAAAAGUCUAAGAUAACACAGAGCCUCUGUCAGCCCUCAAACUUAUUUUUCACAAGCUUCAGCAAUAUUCCAAACAACAAAAGAAAUAUGACUGAACAGACACAAAUUUUGAGGACAUAUUUUUUCCCCAGUAUUUUUUUAACAGGUACUACUGAUGUCCCAGUGCUUUUGAGGGUCUUGUUUGUCCUCCUGGAUGCUUUAGGAAGUUACCACUUUCAGCUCACCUAGAGCUGAUCUCAUUAAUAAAAGAAUGACUUUACAGAAAAGAGUUUCUAAAAUUAUACUCUCACUCAGAAUUGCAAGAGUUGGCUUUUCAGCCUGAAGAUAAAUUUCUUAAGCAUUAAGCUUACUUUAUCAAGUAUUACACCUGACAUUCUCUCAUAAAUUUUGCAUAUAUUUUAACUAAUUUUAAUAUUGUGUGGGCUUGGUUUAUAAUAUUCUCAUGCAGUUACUAAAGUUGAAUCUUCUCAGUCAUAUAUUAGUUGUAAGAAUGCUUAACCCCUUCCAAAAUAUCACUCACUUAAAAUCACAUCAGCUAAGUCUCCUCUUAUUUUUGCUUAUUUCUUGGUUAUUUACCAUGCAUUUUGUGUAUGUUGGAACCAGCCAUGCAGUCGUUGUAUUCCUUUUUUGAGAGGGCAAAUGUAUUUUGACAAGGUUGCUAUUGGAAACACUUUUUAAAUAUCUCAUGUGUCACAUCACAAUCAGCAUCAUAAUCUGAUCAGGUGGAUUAAUUUCAGAAGGCAGCAGAGGGCAUUGCUUACAGGGGUCACAGACAUUCAGAUCAUGGCAGAACUGUCACAGAUGUUACUUUGUGAAAACACAAAGAAUAAUGUGUUUGGAGAGAUCAGUCUUCAAUUAGCUAUAUUUUCUAGGAGCCUACCUUUACUUAGCCUCACAACAUGGGCCUUAGCUUUAGCACUUAAUCUGCACAAAUACCUGGCUUAAGUGUUAUGACUGACUGGCUAUUCAACCAAACCAUACAAAUGACCAAUUCGGUAAGAAAGCAUGAACUUCAGUGUUGAACCAAAUCAACCAACCUCCUCAAUCCAAAUGGAGAGGAUAACAAAGGAAGCUGAGGAAGUCUGUUCUGGAGGCACCAUGACAAAGCACCAGACAGAAAGCAGUCACGUGUGGGGAGAUGAGCAGAGACACCACUUCUCAAGCACCUGAUUAUUCUUUCUCAGUAUUUAGAAGCAAAAAUUAUCCUUAAGAAAAACAACCGCAAACGCAACACAGGCUACACAGAUGAGAAAAUGGGGCUUGCAGAGCUCAAACCAUUACACCAUUCAGAAGCUGGCUUUGGUAUUACUUCAAGUUAUUCAAAACAGUCACCACUUGCUGAGCCUCUGAUGUCUCAUCUGUUGAAUGGGUACAUUUUCUUCCUGAUCCUUCCACCUCUAAACUUGUCUAUUUCCAAGGAUCUAUGGCAUCCAGGCAUAUGAUUUCAAGAGAGAAGGCUGAAAAGGAAGGUGACUGGAAUAUUAAGAACUGUGAGAUAUUCUGAGGAAACUCUAAUUUGUAAAUUGGUAGAAAUGCCAGUAAUUUGUUGGGAAUUGAAGACCCUCUGUAUUCAAGAGCGAAGCUUGGCAGCUGUGCAC
rnacentral:lncRNA from 1 species